GGCCCCGCGGCGCCGCGACCCAGGCCCUGGUUGCCUAGGGGGCGCCCAGCCCGUGGGGAGCCAGCCAAGCUCGGCGGCCAGACCUUCUGAGCUCCCCGGGCGAAUCCGCCUCUCGGCUUUCAAAGAUGGCAUUUCCUGGGCCUGGCAUGAACUCCAGCGCCAGUAAACCCUCCCCGUUCCGCAGGCGACACGGGAUGGUUUACCAGGUCUCCUACCUGUUGUCCUCGCCUCUCCAGAUAACCCACCGCCUGUGGCCCUGAGAUGCUCAGAGCCUCCUCACCUUUACCCCUCCUCCUUCAUUUUCUGGCUCCUCUUCUUCCUUCCUUUCCUCCAGUCUGAAAAAAUGAGUGUCUCUGGCUCAAGCUUACUGAUGGAAGACUGUCGUCCCCUCACCUUGGGAGAAAACUUCUACAAGUCGACACUUCUCUUUCACUGCCGAGGAAUAGUCUGCCGUUGCUGAAAAGGAUUUGCUGUCACCGCUCUGGACACAGACAUACUGUUCAAUUCCAGGCGUCCAGAUUUUCUAUACCUGUAAUGAAAGACGUAUUUUUUUUUAAAUGUGGUAAAAUACACAUAAUGUAAAGUUUACCCUCUU